GCGGGGUUGGCUCAGUUGGCAGUAGCGCAAGUCUCAUACUCUAUGAGUUAUCUUGAGGUCGAGGGUUCGAUCCCCUCAUCCCGCA